AACGAACGCUGGCGGCAGGCCUAACACAUGCAAGUCGAGCGCCCGUAGCAAUACGGGAGCGGCAGACGGGUGAGUAACACGUGGGAACGUGCCCAAAGGUACGGAACAACUCCGGGAAACUGGAGCUAAUACCGUAUGUGACCCGAAAGGGGAAAGAUUUAUCGCCUUUGGAUCGGCCCGCGUCUGAUUAGCUAGUUGGUGAGGUAAUGGCUCACCAAGGCGACGAUCAGUAGCUGGUCNGAGAGGAUGAUCAGCCACACUGGGACUGAGACACGGCCCAGACUCCUACGGGAGGCAGCAGUGGGGAAUAUUGGACAAUGGGCGCAAGCCUGAUCCAGCCAUGCCGCGUGAGUGAUGAAGGCCCUAGGGUUGUAAAGCUCUUUCGGCGGGGACGAUAAUGACGGUACCCGCAGAAGAAGCCCCGCUAACUUCGUGCCAGCAGCCGC
rnacentral:rRNA from 1 species